CUUGGUUCCGCUUUACGUCCUUGUGUUGUUGAUCACUGGAAGGUAUUCGAUGAGGCUUUACGUUGCUUAUAACUCUCUCUAUGUAUAUCUUGGGGAUGCUGCUUGCGAUGCAAAUUAGGUUUGUUGGGUUUCAACAUGUUCAAUCUAGAGAGCAUAUGGCUGUCUUCUUGUUGAUGCAGGUGUUUUACUUCCUCGACUGGGUGAAGUACCAGUUGAAUGACACCAAGUUGUUCCAAACCUUUUUGAGGAUAACUGUGACAUGGUUGGUGCUAUUGCUUUGGGUGUUGGCACAGCGUCUGGCUAUAUAUCUCUCCGUGCACUGGUCGAUUUUACUCAUUGCUUGACCCGACUCAUGCAAAGCAUCACAUUCCCAUUAUUGCCUCUGUUUCUGAGCAUCAGCCUACAGCAUGGUCCUCUUUCAUGUUUGACUACCAUAUUCUGCUCUUCCUUUUCCCUGCCGGACUUUACUUCUGUUUCAAGCGUUUGUCAGACGCCACAAUAUUUAUCGUCAUGUAUGGUCUCACUAGCUUGUACUUUGCUGGUGUCAUGGUUCGGCUUAUCUUCGUCGCCACUCCAGCAAUAUGCCUUAUUAGUGCCAUAGCAAUAUGCCUUAUUAGUGCCAUAGCUUGUACUUUGCUGGUGUCAUGGUUCGGCUUAUCUUCGUCGCCACUCCAGCAAUAUGCCUUAUUAGUGCCAUAGCUGUCUCCGCCACUGUCAAGAACUUAACAUCUCUGUUAAGGGCAAAACAAAAGGUUCCCCAGACUGGUUCUUCUAAAGGACCUGGUAGUUCAAAAGCCUCGUCAAAGGUUACACUUGAUCAGGCUCAACCUUUCCAGAAGAAUGGUGCCAUUGCUCUUCUUGUUGGAGUAUUUUAUUUGCUCAGUAGAUAUGCUAUUCACUGCACAUGGGUGACGUCAGAGGCAUAUUCAUCUCCCUCAAUUGUCCUAGCUGCAAGAGGAGCCCAUGGAAACAGAAUCAUCUUUGAUGAUUACCGCGAGGCCUACUACUGGCUUACGCAAAACACUCCCACUGAUGCUAAGGUCAUGUCGUGGUGGGACUAUGGGUACCAAAUCACUGCCAUGGGAAACAGAACUGUCAUCGUCGACAACAAUACCUGGAACAAUACUCACAUUGCUACUGUUGGACGUGCCAUGUCUUCUUAUGAAGACAAGGCAUAGGACAUCAUGAGGUCACUUGAUGUGAAUUGUGUUGGUCGUCUUUGGUGGCGUUACUAGCUAUUCUUCAGAUGAUAUCAACAAGUUCUUGUGGAUGGUGAGAAUCGGAGGUGGUGUAUACCCAGUGAUCAAGGAGCCUGAUUAUCUUGUGAAUGGUGAAUUCCGUGUAGACAAAGGUGUAUCGCCGAAGAUGCUGAACUGUCUCAUGUACAAGUUAUGCUAUUACAGGUUCGGCGAGCUUGUCACAGAAUAUGGCAAGCCAAAGGGGUAUGAUAGAGCAAGAGGGGUGGAGAUAGGGAAUAAAGAUAUCAAACUUGAACAUUUAGAAGAAGCCUACACAACAUCAAACUGGAUUGUCCGUAUUUACAGAGUCAAACCUCCCACAAACAGGUUGUGAGACACUUUUAAUGAUUCCAUCUUACAGAGUAUGGCUUUAGAUAGUGAAUAGUUUUAAGGAGGAGAUUUUUGUUGGACAUGGGUUUGUUUUCAUGCAGACUGUUUUUGUAGCUUUUUAUUACUUGAAAGUUCGGAAUAUAUUUGUAUGUUUGGUCAUCUUACAACAAGUUCUGAAAUCUAAUGAUUGAGAGCCAAUAUAAAAGUCAGUAAGUAUAGCUGUCUUGUUAAAACAGAAACAUUAUAAAUGUCAAUAAAUUAUAUCUCUCUUGUUAAAAC